rnacentral:misc_RNA from 1 species
GAUGAAGAACGCAGCAAAAUGCGAUACUUGGUGUGAAUUGCAGAAUCCCGUGAACCAUCGAGUUUUUGAACGCAAGUUGCGCCCGAAGCCUUUUGGCCGAGGGCACGUCUGCCUGGGCGUCACGCAUCGCGUCGCCCCCCACAAUUCUCCGUAAAGGGAACAUGUGUUUUGGGGGCGGAUAUUGGUCUCCCGUGCUCAUGGCGUGGUUGGCCGAAAUAGGAGUCCUUUCGAUGGACGCACGAACUAGUGGUGGUCGUAAAAACCCUCGUCUUUUGUUUCGUGCUGUUGCUCGCAAAGUAAACUCUUUAAAAACCCCAAUGUGUCGUCUCUUGACGACGCUUCGACCGCGACCCCAGGUCAGGCGGGACUACCCGCUGAGUUUAAGCAUAUCAAUAAGCGGAGGA